rfam:Streptomyces albus subsp. albus strain NRRL B-2513 B2513contig69.1, whole genome shotgun sequence.
CUUGAUGGAUCCCAGCAGCAGGGGCUGGUUCUCCGGCCGGUCCUGGCCGUAGGUGGCCAGCAGCGCCUGCGCCUC